CCAUUUUCAGGCCCACAUGAACUCCCCGGCACUGUUAGAAAAAUGGCAUUCCUCUUCUGUUCUGAUUUUUUUCUUUUCUGUAAAAAUCUCCUGUAGUCGCUGAGUAAUGAAAUGGAAUUUCGUUAUAAGAAUUUCUCAUAACACACGCUUUGCUCUUUUCCUUCUGGAAACGUGUCUGAUUUGCCUCCAUGUACGUCUCUGUCUUGAGACCAGCUUUCUGCAUGGUAUACGUGAACGCUAGGCAAGAGGUGGGAGACUGCAGUUCUGGUGACAGCGUGGCUCACUCUGCUGUGGCUGUUUGUCCCAGUGGAGCUAGUCUGCCAUCUCUGCCAUGAGUUGUCGUUCCUUCUGAUUCCUACUGUGUGUGGCAGGUGGCAGCUUGCUGCAGGUCACAGCAGGGCCCUUCUGCGGGUCUCCCUCUUCCCCAGCCUCACUGGAAUGACUGUUCGGAGCCCAGAGAGUUCACUGUGACUAGGGCAGAAAAGAGCAGUGGUGGGGUCAGAUCCUGUGCCGCUUCCCCCCACCCCCCGCCCAGGGUUAAUCUUAGAAUUCUUUGAACUUAUUACUGUAUUAAAAACCACUGCUGUAACAACUGUCUGGCUGCACUGUAACAGCAGUGGUUUGUUUCAGUUUGCUUUUGAUAGAGAUUUGUACCGUGUUCUGCUUUGCAUUGGAUAGUCUAUCAAAGC
rnacentral:lncRNA from 1 species